UACGUAGGGUGCAAGCAUUAUCCGGAGUGACGUGGGCGUAAAGAGUUUGCGUAGGUGCUUUGUAAGCGAAUAGUGAAAUGUGGCGGCUCAACCGUACACACUAUUAUUCGAACUGCAAGGCUUGAGAAUGGUAGAGGUAACUGGAAUUUCUUGUGUAGGAGUGGAAUCCGUAGAUAUAAGAAGGAACACCAAUGGCGUAGGCAGGUUACUGGACCAUUUCUGACACUGAGGC
rnacentral:rRNA from 1 species